rnacentral:rRNA from 1 species
UACGGAGGGUGCAAGCGUUGUUCGGAAUCACUGGGCGUAAAGGGCGUGUAGGCGGCCUGUUAAGUCUGAUGUGAAAUCCCCUCGCUCAACGAGGGAACUGCGUCGGAAACUGGCAGGCUCGAGUACCGGAGAGGAAGGUGGAAUUCCAGGUGUAGCGGUGAAAUGCGUAGAUAUCUGGAGGAACACCGGUGGCGAAGGCAGCAUCCUGGACCGGUAUUGACGCUGAGGCGCGAAAGCUAGGGGAGCAAACGGG